rnacentral:rRNA from 1 species
CAAAAGCGUAUAUUAAAGUUGUUGCAGUUAAAAAGCUCGUAGUUGAACCUUUGGCUUGGCUGGCCGGUCCAUCUUUUUUGAUGCGUACUGGACCCAGCCGAGCCUUUCCUUCUGGCUAGCCUUUUGGCGAACCAGGACUUUUACUUUGAAAAAAUUAGAGUGUUCAAAGCAGGCCUUUGCUCGAAUAUAUUAGCAUGGAAUAAUAGAAUAGGACGUUAUGGUUCUAUUUUGUUGGUUUCUAGGACCAUCGUAAUGAUUAAUAGGGACGGUCGGGGGUAUCAGUAUUCAGUUGUCAGAGGUGAAAUUCUUGGAUUUACUGAAGACUAACUACUGCGAAAGCAUUUACCAAGGACGUUUUCAUUAA